rnacentral:piRNA from 1 species
UGCUGAGACAAUGAUGUGUGCUGUGC